CUAGAUCUCUUCUUCUGUGGAUUGGAAGAGAGGAGAGGGAAGCGUCACGACCCCGGUAUUCGUCAGCAUACAGACCUGUGACACGUGGUACUGACCUAAACCCACCUAGAGAGGUGGCGGCGGCCUGGCCGUGGUAGGUCCCACGAGCAGCAGUGGUCGAGUUACAUCCCCAUCGUCUCUGUUUCGAGCUGGGAGGUGGAGUAUUGUCUUUUUCCCCGAGGCUACUGAACUGUUGACCUUAUACAGUAUUGCUGUGAAACUGUUUGACUGCUAGCUUUGCAGAGUGGUGUCGGAGGCCAGACAUCGUCGUGGGAAGUCUACCCCUGGAGAAGGAGACGCAUUCUGCAAGCACCAUAUCUUCACCAGUCCUCCAACUCCAAACGAAGCUAAGGCAUAUCCAUCCAUUUCCAGAAGGGUCCAGUGGAAUCGCCGCCGUCCAUCCGGGACUCGAGCUGGGGAAGAAUUAAGUACCUCCUGCCUCCGUGCAAGUGCGUCACACCGGGACGCCCAGCGACACCCCCACGACGAAAGCAUACUCACCUUCCUGUGCCAACCAUGUGGAGAUAUCGAUAACCACUCUUGUGCCUGGGAGGAAGCCCAGUUGCCGUGAGAGACGGACGGCCCCCCGUAACACAGAAAGAUUGAUUAACUGGGAACAGUGGAAAUACGUCACAACGAAGAAGAGCAAUUAUUCGGGAGAGACUCACCAACGUGUCCCUGUGACGGAGCCUUAGCAUCCCUAAACCUGUACUCUCUGGACCGAGAGUUUUUAUUUUAGUUCCCCUUCCCCGCCACUUUAUUGCAUUUUAAGUAAUUUAAAUAAAGUUUGUUUUAAAAGUA